UAGAUAGGCGUAGGUGAUUGUUAUGGUAUGCCUAUCAAUCAUGGAGUCGCAGCCGGGAUGAGUGGAAUCAGGACCUCCGGAGAUCUGGUGGCCCGGGUUC
rfam:Sporomusa sphaeroides DSM 2875 SPSPH_contig000005, whole genome shotgun sequence.